UUGACGGUACCUAACCAGAAAGCCACGGCUAACUACGUGCCAGCAGCCGCGGUAAUACGUAGGUGGCAAGCGUUGUCCGGAAUUAUUGGGCGUAAAGCGCGCGCAGGUGGGGGGGUUGAGUCUGAUGUGAAAGCCCACGGCUCAACCGUGGAGGGUCAUUGGAAACUGGGGGACUUGAGUGCAGAAGAGGAAAGUGGAAUUCCAAGUGUAGCGGUGAAAUGCGUAGAGAUUUGGAGGAACACCAGUGGCGAAGGCGACUUUCUGGUCUGUAACUGACACUGAGGCGCGAAAGCGUGGGGAGCAAACAGGAUUAGAUACCCUGGUAGUCCACGCCGUAAACGAUGAGUGCUAAGUGUUAGAGGGUUUCCGCCCUUUAGUGCUGCAGCUAACGCAUUAAGCCCUUCGCCUGGGGAGUACGGUCGCAAGACUGAAACUCAAAGGAAUUUGA
rnacentral:rRNA from 1 species